UUUGGGGGAAGUAGUGGUCCGUUAAAUUGGGGAAAAAGAUAUCAUCCCUUGAGGUAAAAUUAGGUUUGGUUCCUUUUACUCCCAAAAUCUUUUUAGCGUGGAAAAAACACUCAUCAUGGGGGUAUAAAAGGAACCAAAUUUAAAUUUAACUACUCAAGGGAUCUUGAUGUCGUUUUCCCCAACAGGACGGAUCACUAUUUUUCCCAAG
rnacentral:pre_miRNA from 1 species